AACCUUAAACUUCUGGAGCCUUCGUGCUCCCCAAAUCACAACAUCUCCCAAUUUAAUUUCUAACUUAAACAAGAAAAUCUCAUAGCCAACAGCCACAGUUCAGAGCAACUCUAUUUGAAAGGAAAUGAACUAGAAAUAUAAAAAUGAGCGGAAGCUACACUAUUGACUAUGCCUCUUCUCCAUAUACGUCCGACCUCAACUAUGCAAUCCUGCAAACUGGCCAUUUUUAAAACGAAGAGCCUAGGGGAAAACAUUUGAAAACGAAACGUUAGAGUGAGUGGACAAAAAUAAAUUAACGAAUAAAAUAUUUAUGUUUCCCCAAAUCAAUUUCCAAGGAAAAUCGAAUGCAUGCUGCAAGCGAUAAAACUUUUAUCUCAUAAAUGUCGAGCCUCUCAGGUUCUAUAAUAUAUGUAUGUAUUUACACACGUCCAUACUCCCUAUAUAAAUUCAUGGGUCUAUAUAGGGCUACUACGCUCGCGUCCAACGCUCACGUCACGCCUUAAUGCGGUGCUACACUACGCCAUUAAGGUGGACAGACGGGUGUAUAAACAUGUACCCAUACACCCUAUAUGAAUUAAACACUCAUAUAAGGCUACUACGCUCACGUCCAACGCUCACGUCACACCAUAAUGCGGCUAUAUGCUACGCCAUUAAGGUGGACAGACACAUAUGGCUAGCUAGCUUUUAUAUACGUACUCUCCUCAAUAUACAUAUUUAUACUCACCGAAAAAUCCCAUUUUUCGGUAACUCUCCAAGAGAAAUAAAAGCGUCAAAAAUUAAAUGACGUCAAAACUCUAACAAUUUUAAAUGCUCAACCAAAACCAUAGCAUGCAUAUUAUUUAAAAUAAAAGUCCACUCACAGUAUUAGGCCUAAGCCUUCCAAUGCUCGGAAUACUCCUCGAGCGCUGCCUCCAACUAGUUACACACUCUAGCCAAUCCCACGUCUGACGAUAAACAGAAGAAUAAAUUGGUCAGACCGGACUCCAUCAACAUUAACGGAUCGACUACUUCCUAGUUUGACUAGGAUUUCCUAGGUUGACCAAUAGAUAAAAGAAUCAUUUUCUACUACUAACUUCGCAUCCAAAAUUUAUUCGGUUUCAAACCAAACCUUAACCUGAAAUCGAAGUCACACACUAUCUCCAUGCCUUUAACACACUAAGCAAUUCACUUCCAAAAUCACCACGAAGCCAAUGGUCUAGAUUUUAGGGUUACUAUGGAUAGUAAUCAUAUUAACAAAAAUUAUUUUAUGGUCCCCUAGCUCAAGCCAACCAGCACCAACAAUUUCAACAUUUCGCUUCUACCCAACUUCACACCAACAAUUACUAAGGGCACCCAAAAGGGUUUCCAAGAAUGGAAGUUUCCAUAAAGGGGAAAGUUCCCUAAAAAGAGAUUUUCUAAAUAUGGCAGGUUUUCCUAAACCGUAAACUACCACUUACACGAAAAGAAAAGUCGACAAGCUACCUUCACGGAUUCUACCGGAAUUGCUGCCUCGCCGGAGAUUCCGGCGACUUGCCAGAAAUACUCGUCGGAUUCCGGUGACUUGCCGGAGUUUCGCCAUAGCCUCCCCGUAUUCUUCAGAACUCCAAGUUCUCGACAUGAACACAAACCAAAAAUGCAUCCAAUCAGUCCGAAUAUCCACACAACAACUAUAUAACAUCAAAGGAGAUCAAGAUUACCUUCCAUCGAUCUCAAGUGCUAUCCCAAGAACUCUCCAAGUUGGACUCAAUAUGCCGGACCCCCAAACGUCCACGACCGCUGCCUCAUUCUUCACUGUAACGAAACCAUUCACCUUGGAUCCUCUCUGGUCAAGGGCACCAGACCUCUGCCUUGGUCCCGAUCGAUAUGCAACUCCACCCCUGUCUGUCUCAACUUCACACAAAGCUCGUAGGACCUACCAAAACGCUGAAGAACUCGCCAGAAACCACCGAGCGCCGGUCGCCGGAGCUAGGAGCUCGAAACCCAGAAAACACAGAAAAAGGGGUUUUCAAUUAGGGCACGAUUUGGGGAAAAGAAAGGUACCAACAGGUGAAGGAGGAAGAGAGGAAGAUAACCAUACCUCCCACUCGUCACGCCGUGGUCGGAAUCUCGAGGAUUCAUCGAAAAACAGCCGAGCUUCUCUCCCUCGGAUUGGCUUUGAAUCGAGCUAACUUCGAGUUCUAUGGACCGGGUUAGAUAGAAGAGAAGGAGAGGAAGAGAUUGGUGGUGGCCUCGUCACCAAAGGUGGCCGGACGGCAGCGCUCCGGCGCGGGGGAACGACGGAGAAGAAAGAGAGUGAAGGGAGAGACCGGAGCUCGGGUCAACGCUCCCAAUUGGGUUUGACAAAGUCAACCCAGCUCUUUUUCCUUUAUACUGAAAUCAAUGGUCAAGAUCGAAACCCGACUCAAUCAUACGACUAAGAUUAAAUGAGCAGUUCUAAUUUCAGAAAAUACUCCAAAGCUCCGAAAAUAAACCGAAAAUACCGGAGAACCCGUGUCGAUGCGAACUACGACAUCAAGACCUUAAAAGAAGAAUUUGACAUUUCCAGAAAAACUCAUAAAUAAACUCAAGUGUUAACUUAUAAGUUACUGAGCGCGGUUAAAUUCUCCAGUAACUCGUGAAAUACCUAGUAAAUAGGUAAAAUUUGGGU
rnacentral:lncRNA from 1 species